GCUGUUUCACAGCCGGCGAGGUGGCUGCAUACAGAACGUACUGGAAUGGGGUCCUCUUGACACCAUUUUCAGCCAUUAGCCUGGCUUCUUCGUUUUUCAAGAAAGGUGCCAAGGCCUCUCUGAAAGAGACCAGAAGGAAAGAGGAAGGGCUGAGCAUGGAGAUGAGAAAGGAUCUGUUCGAAGGUUUUAAUCCGUGACAAAGCUUCAAUCAAGGCAACAGUGGAAUAAUUUGAGAUCAUCAGCAACAAGACCUGUAGGAGUCCAGGGAUUAUGUCGGGCAGCAGCUGUAGUAGCGAGUCCUUGGCAAUGCGUUCAAUGACUUUGGUUUGCAUCUUGAUGGCAGCCAGGU